AUGGAUGACUUAAAAGUUAGCAGCACAGACUGAAGUGCUUGGUGAGGAACUGAUAUAUUUUUUUCUAGUUGUAGGAGCUGCUGUCUCCAAUGAGAGCCAUCACCACAGAUGGGCUUUUAGGAGAGGAUGUGCACCAGCACAAUCAGUGGGUGCAUUACUCACAGAGAGCACUUGCAUGCAGGUAUGCCAAGAGGGAUCCCAACUUGCAAUAAGAUUCUGAGGAAAAAGUCUGACUCUAGUCAUAUACUCUUUGAAAAGGAUGACUGUACAGUAGUUCAAUGUAUGCCACAAACUGGCAACACUUAAAACUUUGGUUCUUCUGUUAAUAAUUUUUUUUAAGGAAUCUAACUGCUAGUUG